rnacentral:rRNA from 1 species
ACGGGAGGCAGCAGUGAGGAAUAUUGGUCAAUGGGCGGGAGCCUGAACCAGCCAAGUAGCGUGCAGGAUGACGGCCCUACGGGUUGUAAACUGCUUUUGCGCAGGGAUGAAAAAGCCCACGUGUGGGCUCUUGCAGGUACUGCGUGAAUAAGGACCGGCUAAUUCCGUGCCAGCAGCCGCGGCAAUACGGAAGGUCCGAGCGUUAUCCGGAUUUAUUGGGUUUAAAGGGUGCGCAGGCGGAGAUGCAAGCCAGCCGUAAAAUCGUGGGGCUCAACCCCAUUGAGCGGUUGGAACUUCAUCCCUUGAUUGCGGCAGAGGGAGGUGGAACUCGUGGUGUAGCGGUGAAAUGCAUAGAUAUCACGAAGAACUCCGAUUGCGAAGGCAGCCUCCUGGACCGUAACUGACGGUGAGGCGCGAAAGUGUGGGGAGCAAACAGGAUUAGAUACCCUGGUA